rnacentral:rRNA from 1 species
AGCAGCCGCGGUAAUUCCAGCUCCAAUAGCGUAUAUUAAAGUUGUUGCAGUUAAAAAGCUCGUAGUUGAAUUUCGGGAUCAAUACGUUGGUCGUGCUUUCGGGUACGUACUGGCGUCAUUGGUUUCUCUCUUCUGACGAACCAUGAUGUCAUUAAUUUGGUGUUAUGGGGAGUUAGGACUGUUACUUUGAAAAAAUUAGAGUGUUUAUAGCAGGCUCACGCUUGAAUACAUUAGCAUGGAAUAAUGAAAUAGGACGUUUGACCCUAUUUUGUUGGUUUCUAGGAUCGACGUAAUGAUUAAUAGGGAUAGUUGGGGGCAUUAGUAUUCAAUUGUCAGAGGUGAAAUUCUUGGAUUUAUUGAAGACUAACUACUGCGAAAGCAUUUGCCAAGGAUGUUUUCAUUAAUCAAGAACGAAAGUUAGGGGAUCGAAGACGAUCAGAUACCGUCGUAGUCUUAACCAUAAACUAUGCCGACUAGGGAUCGGAUGAUGUUAAUUUUUUUAAUGACUCAUUCGGCGCCU